AGAGUUUGAUGAACGCUAGCGGCAGGCUUAAUACAUGCAAGUCGAGGGGCAGCGGGGUGUAGCAAUACACUGCCGGCGACCGGCAAACGGGUGCGGAACACGUACGCAAUCUACCCAGAACUGAUGAAUAGCCCUCCGAAAGGAGGAUUAAUACAUCGUAACAUCUUAGAGUGGCAUCACUUUCAGAUUAUAGCUCCGGCGGUUUUGGAUGAGCGUGCGGCUGAUUAGGUAGUUGGUAGGGGUAACGGCCCACCAAGCCUUCGAUCAGUAACUGGUGUGAGAGCACGACCAGUCACACGGGCACUGAGACACGGGCCCGACUCCUACGGGAGGCAGCAGUAAGGAAUAUUGGUCAAUGGACGCAAGUCUGAACCAGCCAUGCCGCGUGAAGGAUGAAGGUCCUCUGGAUUGUAAACUUCUUUUAUAGGGGAAGAAACCGGAAAAUUCUUUUUCCGUUGACGGUACCCUGGGAAUAAGCACCGGCUAACUCCGUGCCAGCAGCCGCGGUAAUACGGAGGGUGCAAGCGUUAUCCGGAUUCACUGGGUUUAAAGGGUGCGUAGGUGGGUCUGUAAGUCAGUGGUGAAAUCUCCAAGCUUAACUUGGAAACUGCCGUUGAUACUAUAGGUCUUGAAUGUUGUGGAGGUGAGCGGAAUAUGUCAUGUAGCGGUGAAAUGCUUAGAUAUGACAUAGAACACCAAUUGCGAAGGCAGCUCACUACACAAAUAUUGACACUGAGGCACGAAAGCGUGGGGAUCAAACAGGAUUAGAUACCCCCGUAGUCC
rnacentral:rRNA from 1 species